UACGGGGGGAGCAAGCGUUGUUCGGAUUUACUGGGCGUAAAGGGCGCGUAGGCGGCCACCGCAAGUCGACUGUGAAAUCUCCGGGCUUAACCCGGAAAGGUCAGCCGAUACUGCGGGGCUAGAGUGCAGAAGGGGCAACUGGAAUUCUCGGUGUAGCGGUGAAAUGCGUAGAUAUCGAGAGGAACACCUGCGGCGAAGGCGGGUUGCUGGGCCGACACUGACGCUGAAGCGCGAAAGCCAGGGGAGCGAACGGG
rnacentral:rRNA from 1 species